rnacentral:rRNA from 1 species
GAAGAAAGCUUGCUUUCUUUGCUGGCGACCGGCGCACGGGUGAGUAACACGUAUCCAACCUGCCCUUUACUCGGGGAUAGCCUUUCGAAAGAAAGAUUAAUACCCGAUAGCAUAAUGAUUCCGCAUGGUUUCAUUAUUAAAGGAUUCCGGUAAAGGAUGGGGAUGCGUUCCAUUAGGUUGUUGGUGAGGUAACGGCUCACCAAGCCUUCGAUGGAUAGGGGUUCUGAGAGGAAGGUCCCCCACAUUGGAACUGAGACACGGUCCAAACUCCUACGGGAGGCAGCAGUGAGGAAUAUUGGUCAAUGGGCGCUAGCCUGAACCAGCCAAGUAGCGUGAAGGAUGAAGGCUCUAUGGGUCGUAAACUUCUUUUAUAUAAGAAUAAAGUGCAGUAUGUAUACUGUUUUGUAUGUAUUAUAUGAAUAAGGAUCGGCUAACUCCGUGCCAGCAGCCGCGGUAAUACGGAGGAUCCGAGCGUUAUCCGGAUUUAUUGGGUUUAAAGGGAGCGUAGGUGGACUGGUAAGUCAGUUGUGAAAGUUUGCGGCUCAACCGUAAAAUUGCAGUUGAUACUGUCAGUCUUGAGUACAGUAGAGGUGGGCGGAAUUCGUGGUGUAGCGGUGAAAUGCUUAGAUAUCACGAAGAACUCCGAUUACGAAGGCAGCUCACUGG